CAGUAGCCGCGGUAAUACGAAGGGGGCUAGCGUUGCUCGGAAUCACUGGGCGUAAAGGGUGCGUAGGCGGGUCUUUAAGUCAGGGGUGAAAUCCUGGAGCUCAACUCCAGAACUGCCUUUGAUACUGAAGAUCUUGAGUUCGGGAGAGGUGAGUGGAACUGCGAGUGUAGAGGUGAAAUUCGUAGAUAUUCGCAAGAACACCAGUGGCGAAGGCGGCUCACUGGCCCGAUACUGACGCUGAGGCACGAAAGCGUGGGGAGCAAACAGGAUUAGAUACCCCAGUAGUCCCUGUCUCUUAUAA
rnacentral:rRNA from 1 species